rnacentral:lncRNA from 1 species
AACCUAACGCCUUUGUUUGCUGCCUCCACUGGCAGCAGGGUCAGCAGGCCUGUGCCGACCACUGAGGGGCCCGGCCCAGCUGGAGAUGCUCUUGGUGGUCACAGGUGUGGGCGUGGUUUCCACCCGGAGGCUUGACCCAGCUGUGGACAAGGACAUCAGUGGGCAGAGAAGAAAAGCAGUCAGGAUGAGGGAUGCUGAAACUGGCAUUUGUGGGGGCUCUCUCCUCACCCAGCCCCCUCCUCUUCAGAAGGAUGCCGUUAAAGCCAAGGUUAAAGUUGGAGGAUACGGAAGACAGAUCUCAGUGGGGUUCUGCGUGGGUGUGGGAAAGAGAAAAGAUCAAAUUAGAAAAGGAUUAAAAUAUCAGUAC